rnacentral:tRNA from 1 species
GCGGGUAUGGUUCAGUGGUAGAACUUCUGCUUCCCAAGCAGGAGACGCGAGUUCGAUUCUCGCUACCCGCA